CCCGGCCUCGCCGGGUUCUGGGGCGAGCCUGCUCGCGGUGCUGGGCAGGCGGCACGGCCCGGCCGACGCCGGGCGCGACGGCGCGCCCGGG
rnacentral:tRNA from 1 species